rnacentral:rRNA from 1 species
AACGAACGCUGGCGGCGCGCCUAACACAUGCAAGUCGAACGAGAAUCCGGGGGCAACCCGGUAGUAAAGUGGCAAACGGGUGAGGAAUACAUGGGUAACCUACCCUUGAGAAGGGAAUAACCCGCCGAAAGGUGAGCUAAUACCCUAUACGCUAUCUUUUUUUCGAAAAGGAUAGGAAAGCCGGGUCGAGGACCUGGUACUCAAGGAGGGGCUCAUGUCCUAUCAGCUUGUUGGUGGGGUAACGGCCUACCAAGGCUACGACGGGUAGCUGGUCUGAGAGGAUGAUCAGCCACACUGGCACUGAGAUACGGGCCAGACUCCUACGGGAGGCAGCAGUGAGGAAUAUUGCGCAAUGGGCGAAAGCCUGACGCAGCGACGCCGCGUGGGGGAUGAUGGUUUUCGGAUUGUAAACCCUUUCAUGAGGAAGAUAAAGUGGGUAACCACUUAGACGGUACCUCAAGAAGAAGCCACGGCUAACUUCGUGCCAGCAGCCGCGGU